rnacentral:rRNA from 1 species
GCUUAGCCCUAAACUCAGAUAGUUCCUCGAACAAAUCUAUCCGCCAGAGAACUACUAGCAACAGCUUAAAACUCAAAGGACUUGGCGGUGCUUUACAUCCCUCUAGAGGAGCCUGUUCUAUAAUCGAUAAACCCCGAUACACCUCACCACCUCUUGCUAAAUCAGUCUAUAUACCGCCAUCUUCAGCAAACCCUAAAAAGGAAGAAUAGUAAGCACAAACAUCUUAACAUAAAAAAGUUAGGUCAAGGUGUAACCCAUGAGGUGGGAAGCAAUGGGCUACAUUUUCUAUAUCUAGAACAACCCUUCACGAAAGUCCUUAUGAAAUUAAGAACCAAAGGAGGAUUUAGUAGUAAAUUGAGAAUAGAGUGCUCAAU